GGAGUUGUGGCUCAGUGGUAGAGUGCUUGCCUGGCAUGUGUGAGGCCCUGAGUUCAAUCCUCAGCACCA
rnacentral:tRNA from 1 species